AUGGCAGCUGGGACCCUGUACACACAUCCUGAAAACUGCAGGGCCUUCAAGGCCCUCGUUGCCACUCACUACAGCAGGGCUCAGGUGCGCGUGCUCUCCGCACCACCCCACUUCCAUUUUGGCCAAACCAAUGGUACCCGCGAAUUUCUCCGUAAAUUUCCUGCUGGCAAGGUUCCAGCCUUUGAGGUUGACGAUGGAUUCUGUGUUCGAGAGCAAUGCCAUCGCCUACUAUGUGAGCAACGAGGAGCUGCGGGGAAGUACUCCCGAAGCAGCAGCCCAGGUGGUGCAGUGGGUGAGCUUUGCUGAUAGCGACAUAGUUCCCCCAGCCAGUACCUGGGUGCUCCCCUCCUUGGGCAUCAUGCACCACAACAAGCAGGCCACGGAGAAUGCAAAGGAGGAGGUGAGGCGAAUUCUGGGGCUGCUGGAUGCUCACUUGAAGACAUGGACUUUUCCGGUGGCUGAACGUGUGAUGCUGGCUGACAUCACAGUUGUCUGCACCCUGUUGUGGCUUUAUAAACAGGUUCUGGGGUUGCAUUAAGCAGCCCCAGUUCCGGGCUGUCUUGGGGGAGGUGAAAUUCUGAGAAAAUGGCCCAAUUUGAUGCUAAAACGUUUGCAGAGAGCUAGCCUAAGAAGGACGCCCCACGGAAAGAGAAAGCUUCUCGAGAAGAGAAACAGAAGCCCCAGGCCGACCGGAAAGAAGACAGCUGCCCCUGCCCAAGGAGGAGCUGGAUGAACGUGCGCAGGCAGUGGCUGCUGAGCCGAAGGCCAAGGAUACCUUUGCUCUCCUGCCCAAGAGCACCUUUGUGUUGGGUGAAUUUAAGCGCAAGCACUCCAAAGAAGACACAUUCUCCAUGGCGCUGCCGUACUUUGGGGAGCACUUUGAUAAAAAUGACUGGUCCCUGUGGUACUCCGAGUACCGCUUCCCUGAAGAGCUCAUCCAGGCCUUCAUGAGCUGCAACCUCAUCACUGGAAUGUUCCAGCGAUUGGACAAACUGAGGAAGAAUGCAUCUGUCGGUGUCCUGCUCUUUGGAACCAACAAUAGCAGCUCCAUUUCUGGGUCUUCCGAAGCCAGGAGCUUGCCUUUCCGCUGAGUCCAGAUUGGCAGGCGUACUAUGAGUCAAACACAUGCUGGAAACUGGAUCCCAGCAGCGAGGAGACUCAGACUGGUUCGAGAAUACUCUUCCUGGGAUGGGGCCUUCCGGCACGUGGGCAAAGCCUUCAAUCCGGGCAAGAUCUUCAAGGGAACAUCUCUUGCCAUUGCCUAG